AGGGAAGGGAAGAUAGGGAAGGGUUAGGUAUUGGUUAGGUAUGACGGGGAGGGACGAUGCUCCCCUGAGGUUUGUUUUUGUUUGGGUUUUUGGUGAUUUUUGUAAAUAGAAUGAAUGAGAAUUAUUAUUUUGUAAAGUAUGAAUGGUAUUGAGUGUAAAUAAAUUAUUUUUUGUAAAAAAAAAAAAAAAAAUCUGUUCUUAUCAGUUUAAUAUCUGAUACGUCCCCCAUCGGGGGACUACAUAUUAAAUGGAUUUUUCGAACAGGGAGUCGGAAAUGGGGCUUGCUCCGUCCGCUCCACGCAUCGACCCGGUAUUGCAGUACCUCCGGGAACGGUGCAACACUUUUCUCCCGUUGUCAAGGGAAAAUGCACAUUCACAAAGCUAUGUAAACAGCUGGCUAGCUAGCUAGCUAGCUAGCUAGCUGGCUGGCUAGCAGAAGAAGAGAAGGAAAGAAACAUUCAAACUGAAAGAAAGGCGAAGCGCUCUUCAAUGGGGUCCCCCGUUUCCCGCCAUUUUACUUAAAAAAAAAAAAAAGAAAAAAAAAAAGAAUUGGGGCCAGGAUAUUCUCUCUCUCUCUCUCUCUCUCUCUCUCUCUCUCUCUCUCUCUCUCUCUCUCUCUCUUUUUUCCAAAAAACACCUGCCUGUUUGUUGCCAGGGAAACGGUGGGUGGGUGGGUUGGUUGAGUGAGUGGGGGUUGGAGGGAGAGAGGAGCUGGCUUUUGCCAACCCACCCGCUGAGGUCUGUCGAGACCCCCGGGGGUCCGGCGGUUUCAGGGUUCCAUUUGUGGGUUAUCGCUUCUCGGCCUUUUGGCUCAGAUCAAGCUUGGUACCGAGGUGCCCCAAAGCCCGCUUAGUCAAAAGGUAGAACCAGGAGAGCGGUAAGUGUGUUUUUUUGUUUUUGAAAAUUUUUUGAUAUAUAAUUUCUUGUCUUCUUUGUAUUUUCUUGUUUUUUGGAAGAGGUUGGUGAACCGGGUGCGCUAGUCUCCUUGUGGAGAUGGCGCAGGACAGUUCAUCACGGUCGGUUCCUACGAUUGGACUGGCCAACACGGUGCGUUUUUCCUGGAGGGAAAAAGAGAUGGAGCCUUGGGUGAGAGAAACCUUCGGGAGAAAUGUUCUGAUG
rnacentral:lncRNA from 1 species